rnacentral:rRNA from 1 species
AUUGAACGCUGGCGGCAUGCCUAACACAUGCAAGUCGAACGGCAGCACAGUAAAGAUUUCGGUCUUUAUGGGUGGCGGGUGGCGGACGGGUGGGUAAUGCGUAGGAAUCUGUCCUGGAGAGUGGGAUAACCCGAGGAAACUCGGGCUAAUACUGCAUGAUAUCGAGAGAUCAAAGGCAGGGGACCCUUCGGGGCCUUGCGCCCUAGGAUGAGCCUACGUCGGAUUAGCUAGUUGGUGGGGUAAAGGCCUACCAAGGCGACGAUCCGUAGCUAGUCUGAGAGGAUGACCAGCCACACUGGGACUGAGACACGGCCCAGACUCCUACGGGAGGCAGCAGUGGGGAAUCUUGGACAAUGGGGGAAACCCUGAUCCAGCGAUGCCGCGUGUGUGAAGAAGGCCUUCGGGUUGUAAAGCACUUUAGUUGGGGAAGAAGAGUAAUGAGUGAAUAACUGAUUGCUCUGACGGUACCCAAAGAAUAAGCACCGGCUAACUCUGUGCCAGCCGCCGCCGUAA